rnacentral:rRNA from 1 species
ACUCCUACGGGAGGCAGCAGUGGGGAAUAUUGCACAAUGGGCGCAAGCCUGAUGCAGCCAUGCCGCGUGUGUGAAGAAGGCCUUCGGGUUGUAAAGCACUUUCAGUCGUGAGGAAGGUAGUGUAGUUAAUAGCUGCAUUAUUUGUACGUUAGCGACAGAAGAAGCACCGGCUAACUCCGUGCCAGUAGCCGCGGUAAUACGGAGGGUGCGAGCGUUAAUCGGAAUUACUGGGCGUAAAGCGCAUGCAGGCGGCCUGUUAAGUCAGAUGUGAAAGCCCGGGGUCUUAACCUCGGAAUUGCAUUUGAAACUGGCAGGCUAGAGUCUUGUAGAGGGGGUUAGGAAUUUCAGGUGUAGCGGUGAAAUGCGUAGAGAUCUGAAGGAAUACCAGUGCGAAGGCGGCCCCUGGACAAAGACUGACGCUCAGAUGCGAAAGCGUGGGAGCAAACAGGAUUAGAUACCCCUGGUAGCGUCGUC